rnacentral:sRNA from 1 species
CAGAUCAACACCGACUCCAGCCUCCUCAACUCCGAGUUCUGCUUCAUCCUCAAGGUUCCCUUUGAGAGUGAGGACAACCAGGGCAUCGUGUAUGCCUGGGUGGGCCGGGCAUCAGACCCUGACGAAGCCAAGUUGGCAGAAGACAUCCUGAACACCAUGUUUGACACCUCCUACAGCAAGCAGGUCAGGGGGCGGGUGGGCAGGUGGGCACACACAGGGGAGCCAGGGCAGGCAGGGGCCCUGGGCUGGACUGGCCUUUCCCGCAGGUUAUCAACGAAGGCGAGGAGCCUGAGAACUUCUUCUGGGUGGGCAUUGGGGCACAGAAGCCCUAUGAUGACGAUGCCGAGUACAUGAAACACACACGGCUCUUCCGGUGCUCCAAUGAGAAGGGCUACUUUGCAGUGACUGAGAAAUGCUCUGACUUUUGCCAAGAUGACCUGGCAGAUGAUGACAUCAUGUUGCUAGACAACGGCCAAGAGGUCUACAUGUGGGUGGGGACCCAGACUAGCCAGGUGGAGAUCAAGCUGAGCCUGAAGGCCUGCCAGGUAAGCUGGGUGGAGGGAGGGCCGAGGUGGGCCUGUGGGCAGGGCAGGGUCAUCACCCAAGGCUCACUGUCCCCUUGCCAGGUAUAUAUCCAGCACAUACGGUCCAAGGAACAUGAGCGGCCAC